rnacentral:snRNA from 1 species
AGGGUUGCACAGUGGCAGUAUCAUAGCCAAUGAGGUUGAUCCAAGGCACAAUUAUUGCUAAUUGAAAACAAUUGGUAGUCUUGUUUUCCUAAAGAUUAAGUGGUUUUUUUUUCCCCUCUAGGGUUUUUUGUUUUGUUUUCAAG